UGUCCGGGCAUGCUGGGAGUUGUAGUUUUGCAACAGCUGGAGGCACGCUGGUUGGGAAACACUAUGCUAAGCUGUAGUGUGAUGUUAUGGGCCUGGCCCCCUUCCUGAUGCCCCUGCACGUUACAUCACACUGCCGCGCAGCCUAUGACCGGCCAAGGCGGGACAUCGCUUUGAACAGCAAUUAGCUCAGCGCAGUGUGACAUGUGGGGCGCCACAAGCAGGAAGAAGACCAGAGCGGGGGAUGAAAAAGCGAUUCCAGCGGCACCAGAGGAGCGGCAGAAGCUUGGACGAAAAGUGAGAAAAGAGAUGUAAAAAGGAUCCAACAAACAUAUAAGAAGAGUCUACACAACUACCUGGCGUAAGUCACCCGAUGAUUGCGACAGAAGGCAUCAAGUGUUCCUACACCGUGCCCACAGCAGGAAGGAGGCGUGCCUUUCCCUUGCCUGCACUGCAAUGACUCCUCUCCCUUCCUCACUCUGCUGACUCACUGCUCCAUGGGACAUGGCAGCCCUGCUCUGUAACCCUUUCUUCUCUGGAUUUAUGCUGUACACAAACUGAUUAUUGGAGAUUGCCUGUACUCGACCACCAAAGAC